GACGAACGCUGGCGGCGUGCUUAACACAUGCAAGUCGAACGGUGAAGCUCCAGCUUGCUGGAGUGGAUCAGUGGCGAACGGGUGAGUAACACGUGAGCAACCUGCCCCUGACUCUGGAAUAAGCGCUGGAAACGGCGUCUAAUACUGGAUACGAGAAGGGUCCGCAUGGGCACUUUCUGGAAAGUUUUUCGGUUGGGGAUGGGCUCGCGGCCUAUCAGCUUGUUGGUGAGGUAAUGGCUCACCAAGGCGACGACGGGUAGCCGGCCUGAGAGGGCGACCGGCACAAGGGGGAAUAGAGACGGGCCCGGGACCCUAGGGGGGGAAGGAGGGGGGAAGGUUGAAAAAGGGGGCAAGGCUGGUAGGAGCGGCCCCGGGGGGGGGAGAGCGGCGUGGGGGUGGAAAACAGUUUUCAGCAGGGAAGAAGGGAAAGGGAGGGUACCUGAAGAAAAAGCACCGGCUAAUUACGG
rnacentral:rRNA from 1 species